CUACGAAAAUCACUUCUUUUUUUUGUGCACAACUUGUACUGGCAAUGGCGCCAUUGCCAGUACAAGUUGUGCACAAAAAAAAGAAGUGAUUUUCGUAG
rnacentral:pre_miRNA from 1 species